GAGUUUGAUCCUGGCUCAGGAUGAACGCUGGCGGCGUGCUUAACACAUGCAAGCCGAACGAUGAAGCCCUGCUUGCAGGGUGGAUUAGUGGCGAACGGGUGAGUAACACGUGAGUAACCUGCCCCCGACUCUGGGAUAAGCCCGGGAAACCGGGUCUAAUACCGGAUAUGACUUCCUACUGCAUGGUGGGUUGUUGAAAGAUUUAUCGGUGGGGGAUGGACUCGCGGCCUAUCAGCUUGUUGGUGAGGUAAUGGCUCACCAAGGCGACGACGGGUAGCCGGCCUGAGAGGGUGACCGGCCACACUGGGACUGAGACACGGCCCAGACUCCUACGGGAGGCAGCAGUGGGGAAUAUUGCACAAUGGGCGAAAGCCUGAUGCAGCAACGCCGCGUGAGGGAUGACGGCCUUCGGGUUGUAAACCUCUUUUAGUAGGGAAGAAGCGAAAGUGACGGUACCUGCAGAAAAAGCACCGGCUAACUACGUGCCAGCAGCCGCGGUAAUACGUAGGGUGCAAGCGUUGUCCGGAAUUAUUGGGCGUAAAGAGCUCGUAGGCGGUUUGUCGCGUCUGCUGUGAAAUCCCGAGGCUCAACCUCGGGCUUGCAGUGGGUACGGGCAGACUAGAGUGCGGUAGGGGAGAUUGGAAUUCCUGGUGUAGCGGUGGAAUGCGCAGAUAUCAGGAGGAACACCGAUGGCGAAGGCAGAUCUCUGGGCCGUAACUGACGCUGAGGAGCGAAAGCAUGGGGAGCGAACAGGAUUAGAUACCCUGGUAGUCCAUGCCGUAAACGUUGGGCGCUAGAUGUAGGGACCUUUUCACGGUUUCUGUGUCGUAGCUAACGCAUUAAGCGCCCCGCCUGGGGAGUACGGCCGCAAGGCUAAAACUCAAAGGAAUUGACGGGGGCCCGCACAAGCGGCGGAGCAUGCGGAUUAAUUCGAUGCAACGCGAAGAACCUUACCAAGGCUUGACAUACACCGGAAACGGCCAGAGAUGGUCGCCCCCUUGUGGUCGGUGUACAGGUGGUGCAUGGUUGUCGUCAGCUCGUGUCGUGAGAUGUUGGGUUAGGUCCCGCAACGAGCGCAACCCUCGUUCUAUGUUGCCAGCGGGUUAUGCCGGGGACUCAUAGGAGACUGCCGGGGUCAACUCGGAGGAAGGUGGGGAUGACGUCAAAUCAUCAUGCCCCUUAUGUCUUGGGCUUCACGCAUGCUACAAUGGCCGGUACAAAGGGCUGCGAUACCGUAAGGUGGAGCGAAUCCCAAAAAGCCGGUCUCAGUUCGGAUUGAGGUCUGCAACUCGACCUCAUGAAGUCGGAGUCGCUAGUAAUCGCAGACCAGCAACGCUGCGGUGAAUACGUUCCCGGGCCUUGUACACACCGCCCGUCAAGUCAUGAAAGUCGGUAACACCCGAAGCCGGUGGCCUAACCCUUGUGGAAGGAGCCGUCGAAGGUGGGAUCGGUGAUUAGGACUAAGUCGUAACAAGGUAGCCGUA
rnacentral:rRNA from 1 species